AUGCACGCUGGCGGCGUGCCUAAUCCAUGCAAGUCGAGCGCACGGACGAGAAGCUUGCUUCUCUGAUGUUAGCGGCGGACGGGUGAGUAACACGUGGAUAACCUACCUAUAAGACUGGGAUAACUUCGGGAAACCGGAGCUAAUACCGGAUGAUAUUUUGAACCGCAUGGUUCAAAAGUGAAAGACGGUCUUGCUGUCACUUAUAGAUGGAUCCGCGCUGCAUUAGCUAGUUGGUAAGGUAAUGGCUUACCAAGGCAACGAUGCAUAGCCGACCUGAGAGGGUGAUCGGCCACACUGGAACUGAGACACGGUCCAGACUCCUACGGGAGGCAGCAGUAGGGAAUCUUCCGCAAUGGGCGAAAGCCUGACGGAGCAACGCCGCGUGAGUGAUGAAGGUCUUCGGAUCGUAAAACUCUGUUAUUAGGGAAGAACAUAUGUGUAAGUAACUGUGCACAUCUUGACGGUACCUAACCAGAAAGCCACGGCUAACUACGUG
rnacentral:rRNA from 1 species